rnacentral:rRNA from 1 species
UACGUAGGGUGCGAGCGUUGUCCGGAAUUAUUGGGCGUAAAGGGCUCGUAGGCGGUUUGUCGCGUCGGGUGUGAAAACUCAGGGCUUAACCCUGAGCCUGCUCCCGAUACGGGCAGACUAGAGGUAUGCAGGGGAGAACGGAAUUCCUGGUGUAGCGGUGAAAUGCGCAGAUAUCAGGAGGAACACCGGUGGCGAAGGCGGUUCUCUGGGCAUUACCUGACGCUGAGGAGCGAAAGUGUGGGGAGCGAACAGG